rnacentral:rRNA from 1 species
GACGUAGGAUGCAAGCGUUGUUCGGAUUUAUUGGGCGUAAAGCGAGCGUAGGUGGCUAGUUAAGUCUGGUGUUAAAGCUAGGGGCUCAACCCCUGUGUUGCACUGGAAACUGGCUGGCUUGAGGAUGGUAGGGGAAGGUGGAAUUCCGAGUGUAGCGGUGAAAUGCGUAGAUAUUCGGAGGAACACCGGUGGCGAAAGCGACCUUCUGGGCCAUUUCUGACACUGAGGCUCGAAAGCCUUGGGGAGCAAACGGG